GAAAAAAGAAACUAGAUCCAGUUCUAUAAUUCAAUUCAAACUGCUCCACUGAACAAAAGAUGCUUCCUCCUCGCUCCAUCUUGAUCUUCACCAUCGUCUUCCUCCUCCUCCUAUCUCCAUCGUCAUUACCAUCGAUCGAGGCGGCGGAGCAGAAGUAACAGUUCGCCGUCGAUGGGAAAGUAUUGGAACUUGAAGAAUCCAACUUGGACGCUGCAAUUUCUACCUUCGAUUAUAUGUUGGUCGAUUUCUAUGCUCCUUGGUGUGGUCACUAUAAACGUCUAUCUCCUGAGUCGUGGUAUCAGGGCCAGCUUGCGCGCACCUCGACUCAUUCCAGGGUACCUGCCACCUCCCACCAGCAACACGUACCAGGUAAUCUUGCAAAGGAAGUUCAAUGGUGUCAUACAAGAUCAUGAUAUGUCUCAUAAUUUCCUGACAGAUUCAGGAUUUAUAGCUACGUGACAAGAUCUCUAUUGUUUUUUUGGUACAUAAGAUGGAUUUGUUGCAUUAUCUGAAUUUUUAAAGCCUAGGUGCUGGUUUAAGUUGUUCCGUAGGAUAAAUGCCAAGGAGCAUGUUGCUGGCUGGUAUACCAAAACUUAGGGAAAAUAACCUGAACAUCCAUGGGCUUUUUAAUGAGUCAUGCAUCUUGAUGCUGAAAAAGAGAUGAUGUCUCAUUGUGUUGCACUGCUUGGGAAAUUCAUUGUUGUCUGUGAGCCAAAUAAUCUUUUUCUCGGUUUGGUUUGUUUUAGCCAUAUACGAAUUACUCCCUCCGUCUAUUUUUACUUGUCCACGAUACUAAAAAAAGAUGUCCAUUUUUACUGAUCCAGUUUGGAAAAUUGAUAAUUCACCAUUUCAUGCCUAUUUUACCUUAUUAUUAAGUACUACGAAUCAUUUUCAAUUCGUUUCCCAAUAUUUUGGAUUUAUAAUAGUCAAAGUUAGUUUUCCAGUUGCUGCAGUUGAAAGGAGACUAAUGGAGGAGGUGCGAAACAAUGACACUGAUAAUUGUUGGAGAAACUAGAAGUGGAAAGAUAAUUGUUGGAGAAACUUGUGUACACAUGUUUGCGUAUCGUUCUUCUUUGUCAGUGUAUUUGUGCGUUGGGUUAUGUGUGUUUUAUCAGUCUUUACUAAGGUGUAUAAGGUGUCUUUCUGUAUGUUUGUGCAAGUCAAGCAUUAUAGAACUGGUGAAUUCGUGAAGAUCGAUGACAUAUUUGAUUCAUUGAUCUAAGAAUUCUUUUUCCUAGCAAAGCUGCCAGAAUGUUUUCUCGAACACAGGAAAAAUGUGCUACCUGCGGCAAGACGGCCUAUCCACUUGAGAAGGUACAAAUAUUGAACCCUCAAAAUUUCACCUUAUCAUGAUGUCUUUAUUGAAAAAUAAAUUUUACCCUACACUAUACUUGUCAUCUGAUUGGCUUUGGUCAACGUUGUUUACUUGGGAGGGGGGGUUGCUCAUUCCUGUGAUAAUUUUUUAUUUCUGGAGUUAGUCUUGUUUGUCUAAAAGUUUCCUGUGUCCUCUACAAGCAGUGCCUUCAAAAUGAAUUUUUAUCUGUGAUAUUGUAUGAUAUUGUGUACUGUGGAAUACAGUUUUAACUUCAGUCAUUUUCUAGUGUCACAUGAAAGCAGGAUUAUCUUUUAAGUGGCUUCGCAAUGUGGAAGUUACAAGCUAGAUUUCUAUAUUGGGACUAUCUCUCUUUCAAUUGAAACAUGCUAUAUUGCUGCAGGAAGAUGGAUAACAAUAUAAUGAACCUAAAGGAGUGAAUGGUAGCUAAAAGAUAUUUAGAAUGGUCGAAGUUUGCAUGGUUGCAAAUUGUUGCAAUGUGUCUGUGUGCUUUAUUUAAAUUAAAUACGGAGUAGAAGAAAGUAAGGAAUUCCAGUAUCAUGUUGUGGUUGUGACAGCAACUGUAUAUAUCUUCUUAAGCAUAGAUGAACUGAAUUCCCUGAAGUUCGGGGUUAUUUGCUCACAAAAUGAUCAUUAGUAGUUCUUUAAAGAUAGUCCCCGAAACUAAUUCUGCACAAUUGCUGAGUUUGAUCGAAUUGUAUACCCUACAAUCCCCAAUCUGGUGUAAAAAUAGAAAAGAGAAGUAAAGUCUAGUGCUCGACAAUCUGCUUUGGCAUUACUCAUACCACUAAAUACUAACUCAGAAGUUACUGGGCACGUUGCGUGAGUUACCCCAUCUGUUAAGAACAUCAGUGAACUUCCAGUUUUAAGGUGUGAGUAAUAAAUAAUUUUAACAUUAUUAAGGUAUUGUAUGGUAUAUAUGUAGCAAUUCACAAGUUAACAGCCCGCUGAACCUUCCAUUUACUUAUUUUAUCCACCAGCAGGAAGCUAGUUUUAUCUAAAUAUGUAGCCAUCUAUGAUGUCGUGUCUUGCUAUAUAUUGUUAGUGGUACUUGUUAUGUCUGUAUUGUUUUCUAGUGAAAGUUUGUAGUUUGGUCAUAACUGACAAUGGUAAUGAACUUAUAUGUAUUGGCCUUUGAGUUCUGAGAUUAUUCUUGGAUACUCUAGUUUGUGAAUUACAAUGUAGGACUUUAUAGGGUCUAAUUAUAGUUAAAUUUGAGAUGGAUAGUGUUUGCUUAGUGCUUUUAUAUGAAUAAAAGAUAUUGAUUUUUCUUUAAUUUUGGUUGUCCCUUGCAGUAUGAUGUAGUUGCUCCUGACACGGUCUUGGUCAUAGAGUUUGGUGUUCGAUAAUUUAGCGGGUGGAAGAUUUCAAUAUGACGAAGAGUUGUAGAAAUUAUUUGAAGAUUGUUAUUUGUUAAAUUAGUUACAUAAUGAUAUUAGUUAUUUAGUUCAAACAAUAUAAGUUUAUUUUUUAAGUUAUUGUGAUAUUAAUAUUUUGAAAGUGCUUCCUUUUGUUUGUUAAGAUUUAACGAGAUAUAUUGUGGUUUGAUAAAUUAA